rnacentral:rRNA from 1 species
UACGUAGGGGGCAAGCGUUGUCCGGAUUUAUUGGGCGUAAAGAGCGUGUAGGCGGCCUGUUGCGUCCGCUGUGAAAACCCGGGGCUUAACCCCGGGCUUGCAGUGGAUACGGGCAGGCUGGAGGCAGGCAGGGGGAGAACGGAAUUCCCGGUGUAGCGGUGAAAUGCGCAGAUAUCGGGAGGAACACCGGUGGCGAAGGCAAUCCCCUGGGCCUGCACUGACGCUCAUGCACGAAAGCGUGGGGAGCAAACAGG